GAUUUUGUUGGGGUGAAAAGCACACUGACAUGCCACCGCUGUUUAUUGGAGUGCGAUUUCACGUGCAAAUGCAAAAACAUUAAAAAUGUUAUUGCUCCUUAUGUGCAUAUGCGGCAGCGCUCCUCGAGGGGGCACCAGCUGCGGGAAGUCUGUUCCUUGCAGACCCCUGACCACGCGAUGAAUGAAUAAAGUACACUGACACACAGAUAUUCUGCUCUGCCAGUCCAGCUGAGGGUCCAAGCCCCUUACAGGCUCCCUGCUGAGCCCUGUAAACAGUUGCGACUCGGCAGGGAGCCUGUAAGCACCUGGGACCCUCAGAAUAUCUGUGUGUCAGCGUACUUUAUUCACCGGUCAUUGGGUCAGGGGUCUGCAAGGGACAGACUCCCCACAGCUGGUGACCCCUCGAGAGGAGCCCUGCCCCCAGCUGGUGCCCCAUGUGAGGCGCUGUGUGAGGAACUGUGUGAGGAAUGCUGUGAAGGAAACGCGACGAACCGCCCGAAAACGAAGACAGACAGAACAGCAUGUGGAGACUCACACAGUGAAAUUUUCCUCCAAGAAGUACUGCAUGAACAUACCAGGAAAACCAAAAGAAUUCACAGGACCUUUGAAAGAAGUGGCUUGCCGCUGCAAACUCCAUGAGACAGCUGAAAAACUGGCAAAGCGGCUGAGAUCUUUGAACUCCCUUUGAACUUUGAGAAUGGUGACUGGAAGAUGACAAUUCAUGUUGUUUUCAGGAAAGUUGAAGGAUGGGAUGUAUGCAAAGGAGAAUGAACUCUACUACAGUAAUGGAAAGAAGUGAUAGAAGAUGAAACUCCAAAAUGCCUAUCUGCUACUUGAGUGGAACUCACUAGAAUAUAUCAAAUGCAGAGAGAAACAUGUGACUAGGCUCUAGUCAAACAAUUGUCAUCAAAUACUUGCUGAAUAUAUAACACAUUUUAGGAGCUGUGCAGAAAACAGUUUUGAGUGGUGAGAUACACUUAAUUUCAAGCCUCACUUGCAAAAUUUUCAAUGGUGAACCUUCUGGACACCAAAUGUAUAACUCGAGCUAUUUUAGAAGUUAGAGAAAGGCUGCCUUCCCAGGUCAGAGAAUCAGAAGAUUGAAAUAAGCCGCUCACUCUCUUUUUUGGGACACUGAAAUAGGGAAUUAGCAUGAUACAAAGAACACUCUGGACUGUGUCCCCCAUCUAAGUAAAUUGUAUUAUGUUCCAAAGCUGAGUUUAAACAAAAUAGUAAAAAUUCAGAGGUAUUACAAAGCUGAUCUAGAUUCUUCAUCUCAAUAAAUCUGGGGACUGCUUGUACAAGCAGUAGAAAAUGGAUAAAGAUAACAUCAUGAAUGCAUGUUUCUCACCCUCUUUACUUUUAUCUCCUCCUGAAGUGACUCCAGCAAUCAGAUAAGUAAUUAGCAGAGUAUGUUUACAAAUCGCUGUGAAGGAUGAGUUGGGAAACAGAGGCUGAAUAUACAGUAUCCACAAAAGGGAAAUGUUCAUAGGUAGUAUAAGGUUUUUGAGAAGGCAGGCCAUGAUGUCAUUCAAAGUAUAGACAAACUCAGUAAAUACUGGUGAUUAUGACAUACCUAUUUGUUCUCCAUCCGAAAUGCAAAAAUUAAAAAGUCUGAUUGUAUCCCAGUAUUUGUGAAGGUGUGGGGAAAUGGGCACCUUAAUAUUUACAUGAAUGCAAAUUGGUGGACAAUUUUGUGUUACUAAACUUUAACCUAUCAUACUUCUUUAUCUGACCAUUAUCUUUCUAAGCCUUUCCAGGUACACACUCAUGUACUUGCACAAAGAUGCCUGUUUUGUAUUGUUUGAAGCAGAAAAAAAUUAAAUGAUACUUUAAUGUCCAUCAACUGAAAAAUAGCUAAAUGGAUCAUAAUAUGUCAAAACUAUGGGCUAUAUACUGUAUUUAAAAUAAUAAAAUGAAUCUACAUAUGUUGACAUGAAAAUGUCUAUAGGAUGUAUUGUUUCAGUGAAAAAAAGCAAAUUGUAGAACCAUAUGUGAAUAUAACUUUAGUAAAGAAACAAUAAAUAAUAAAG
rnacentral:lncRNA from 1 species